UUCAAAGUUAAUUAUAAAAUUAAAUCUUAAUUAAAAUAUACUCUGCUCAAAAAUUUAAAUAUUCAUUUUCCAAAUUCCUAGUACAAACUUUUUAUCACAUAUUUUAUUAUUUGAAUGUUCUUUAGAGUUUACACAUAGAUUUUUCCUUGUCUCUUAUUUAAACAAUUGGUUCAAAAGCCACCUCAAGGUGUUAUAACACAUGCCAUUUGUAAAUCCGUAACUAUUGAACAAGAUUUGUUGAUGUAUACAAUAAGAUGUAUAUAUGUAUAUAUAUAUAGUAUUAUUGUAUAAAUAUAAUUUAGCAAAUAAGUGAAUUAUUCCUCAGUCCAAUGAAGCUAAAAUGUGCUGAGGCAACACUUCAAUAUAUGUUGUGCAUAUAACACCGCUACAUGCACAGGCACGAGGCAGUCCCGCUGUCGUGGUGGAACUCGACGGGAGCGUAGAGGUUCGACGGUUGUACGCGGGUAAGCGACAACUGUAGCACGGACUAAGUGUUUUAUUUUAUCAAUAAGUGUUUCUGACCGAAAGUUGUGUUUUAAAGUUUUAUUUCAGGCUUUUGUCGUGAACAACACUUUUAGAAAAGGUAGCAAGACACUCUAGUACUUACUUAAUCACCCAGUACUCGUUAUCGUGAUCAGUCGAGAUUUGUCUGGGUUAAAGAGAUAUCACCCUAGGACAUCCAGUACUCGUUAUCGUAGUCAGUUGUUCGAGAGUAAAGUAACCUUAGAAUUGUAUAGUGUAAAUCCUGUUGGACCUCUGUUUAAUUAUCCUUUUGUGCAGUACUCGUUAUAUUGGUCACCAAAAGGAGCAUUAAAAUAACCUCAUACAGCCGGUGUCGAUAAUUUACUCGUUUGACGGUUAGAGAAUCGGAAACCGAAAUAUAUCUGUUAUAUACGCCAAGACUUUGCGUGGCGUAUACAAUAAUACUUAAUGAAUAUACUUUUUAUUUGUAUUUUUAUUCGAAAGAACUAAAUACUUCUUUUAAUUCUCGUGGUCUACUCCAAAUUCCAAUUACUAAUAUUUCGGAAUGAACUAUUUUAAAUGUUGUUUCUAAAAUAUUAUUUUAAAAUGUUUCUAACUUCUGACAAUUUACAUUAAGGUUUCGCCAAAAUACAAGCAGAUAACAGAAUGACUAAACACCAUAGAUAAUAUUAUAUAAGAUUAUAAUAAUCAUAAUAAUAAUCUAAAGCCGCGUCACGUAAGAUUUGGUGUGCGGCACGCUCGCUAUCCGUGGGCCUACGGAUCGCUUGCGCCGCAAGAAAUAUUUGCGGCGCAAAUUUUUAAACAAUGUAAUUUUGAUCAAGUGUGGACCCACCUUUAUAUUAUCUAUGCUAAACACCUGAAACCCCCGUCGGAUCAUCACUUCGACAUCGGUAAAAUUUAACGCCCGCCUCCGGCAAGAAAUCACCACCAAUUUAUUGAUAACCAUUGUGACUUAUCACUAUGUACCACAAACUGUAAUAGUAAUAAUUCUUAUCAAAUAAAUAACAACAUAACAAUAUUAUUUUUUUGUUUGCCGACGUUUGAAAUGUUUGAAUCACUCCCGAAUCGUGAUUAUUUGAAAUUUGAACGAAAAUACAGACUACAGCCGUGCAGAGUUCUAUUCAUACAUUUUAGUACAAAAUCACCAUGCAUAAGUGUAUUCUUUUUAGUAAAACAUCCAAAGUAUCGCCUAGCCACAUUACGUUAAUUUUCGUUUAUUUCCAAAAAGUCAAUGUAAUAGAAGAAAAUAAUGGGUCUUCGAAUUAAAUGAUUAUAUUCCGAUGUCUAUCUGGCAUAGAAUCUGCGGUAAUCAUUUCACAAUUAGUGAUUGUAAACAAUGUUCAGUAAACUAGUAAACAUGGCCAGAGACUAUCUCAAAACAUAAUCUAAACCACUUACCUGGGAUAGAGAAGUAAAAUAAAUUUUAGGAAUUUACAGCAACAUUGGUACUACUCUUGAGCACGACUAGUAAAUCGUAUCUAAGAGAAAAUUGUGUUUUUCCAACGAUGAAUUAGAAGAAAAUGAACAGACAAAUAAAUGAUUUGGAUGCCUUACAGUUGAUGAUUUUAAUUCCCCUAGAAAAGCCUUAGAAACUUAAUAAUGUCUAAUUUACACACACUUAUUUCAUACAAUGGAUUAUACCUACUUAUUAUGGUUUUCAAAACUGAAAUAUAUGAUGUACCACAUACAAGGAACUAGGAAGUUGAGCCAAAGUAUUGUCAAUAUUUCAGACGUUGAAUUUCUUGAAGAUAAUACUACCAACUCAGAUGAAGCCAUACAAUAUUGAAGCGAAUUAUGAAACUUAAAGGUUAUACAAUUUAGCUGAGCAAGAAUCCAAUUUUAAUAACACAGAGGACUUCAACAUAUUUAAAUUGCAAAGAAACACAUAACUAGUUUGGACAUUGGUAUCUUUUCUUACAUGAAAAUGAAUCUAGUUGGAUGAAUUAAACAGGUCAAGAAUCCCAUUAACAACGAGGAAAGACAAACUUCUUUGCAACUUCCGAAAAACUUGAGUCGCUGUUAUUAAAAUUCUUCAAGUAUCAACGAUGGACAUAAUUGAUGAAGACUUUUAAAUUAGGUAUAUUCUGAUAGGUACCUAUUUCCUUUAAUUUGUAAUUAUUUUUCCUAUGUUUGCCCCCACCACCCAUCAGAAAGUACUUAGUUACUUUAUUUAACUAAAAAAAAAACUAUACCUAUAAAUUGUGGAGUUAUGCUUGUGA